rfam:Lupinus angustifolius cultivar Tanjil chromosome LG02, whole genome shotgun sequence.
UAGUGCGAUCAUACCAGCACUAAUGCACCGAAUCCCAUCAGAACUCCGCAGUGAAGCGUGCUCGGGCUAGAAUAGUACUAGAAUGGGUGACCUCUUGGGAAGUCCUUGUGUUGCACCUU